AACUUUUGUUAUUAUUCAAAUUGAUUAAUGUUUUGUCAUUUCAGUCAGGAUGUUAUGAAACAUGGUGGAUCUCUCACAUUGACUUUAAGGACAGCAAGACCUGGGAUCCUUCUUCAACCUUCUAGCUGGUUGACUUUAGAGAACGUAGAAGAUUUUCAUUUCUACAGGCCACCACCCUUUGUUUGCAAUCAUCAUUAGCAUUUGCCAUUGGCACAUCAACAGUCCAUUACGAUUCUCAAAUUGGAGCUCACUUCACUUCCAUUUUGACCAACUCCAUGGUGGGCUGUAGGAGUCUCAUCGGCACGUUGGAAAAAAGAGUAUGUUUUUACAAAGAA